CCUACGGGCGGCAGCAGUGGGGAAUAUUGGACAAUGGGCGAAAGCCUGAUCCAGCCAUGCCGCGUGUGUGAAGAAGGCCUUCGGGUUGUAAAGCACUUUCAGUGGGGAAGAAAGCCUUGGGGCUAAUACCCUCGAGGAAGGACAUCACCCACAGAAGAAGCACCGGCUAACUCCGUGCCAGCAGCCGCGGUAAUACGGAGGGUGCGAGCGUUAAUCGGAAUUACUGGGCGUAAAGCGCGCGUAGGCGGUCUGAUAAGCCGGUUGUGAAAGCCCCGGGCUCAACCUGGGAACGGCAUCCGGAACUGUCAGGCUAGAGUGCAGGAGAGGAAGGUAGAAUUCCCGGUGUAGCGGUGAAAUGCGUAGAGAUCGGGAGGAAUACCAGGGGCGAAGGCGGCCUUCUGGACUGACACUGACGCUGAGGUGCGAAAGCGUGGGUAGCAAACAGGAUUAGAUACCCCGGUAGUC
rnacentral:rRNA from 1 species